rnacentral:rRNA from 1 species
UACGGAGGGUGCAAGCGUUAUCCGGAUUCACUGGGUUUAAAGGGUGCGUAGGUGGGUUGGUAAGUCAGUGGUGAAAUCUCCGAGCUUAACUUGGAAACUGCCAUUGAUACUAUUAAUCUUGAAUAUUGUGGAGGUCAGCGGAAUAUGUCAUGUAGCGGUGAAAUGCUUAGAGAUGACAUAGAACACCAAUUGCGAAGGCAGCUGGCUACGCAUAUAUUGACACUGAGGCACGAAAGCGUGGGGGAUCAAACAGG